GGAACACUUAAACAAUACAAUGUAACAUCAAGUCAAUCACACUUCUGUGAAAUCAAACUGUCCACUUAGGAAGCAACACUGAGUGACAAUCAAUUUCACAUACUGUUGUGCAAAUGGGAUAGACAGCAGGUGGAAAUUAUAGGCAAUUAGCAAGACACCCCCAAUAAAGGAGUGGUUCUGUAGGUGGUGACCACAGACCACUUCUCAGUUCCUAUGCUUCCUGGCUGAUGUUUUGGUCACUUUUGAAUGCUGGCGGUGCUUUCACUCUAGUGGUAGCAUUAGAUGGAGUCUACAACCCACACAAGUGGCUCAAGUAGUGCAGCUCAUCCAGGAUGGCACAUCAAUGCAAGCUGUGGCAAGAAGGUUUGCUGUGUCUGUCAGCGCAGUGUCCAGAGCAUGGAGGCGCUACAAGGAGACAGGCCAGUACAUCAGGAGACGUGUAGGAGGGCAAUAACCCAGCAGCAGGACCGCUACCUCCGCCUUUGUGCAAGGUGGAACAGGAGGAGCACUGCCAGAGCCUUGCAAAAUGACUUUCAGCAGGCCACAAAUGUGCAUGUGUCUGCUCAAAUGAUCAGAAACAGACUCCAUGAGGGCCCGACGUCCACAGGUGGGGGUUGUGCUUACAGCCCAACACCGUGCAGGACGUUUGGCAUUUGCCAGAGAACACCAAGAUUGGCAAAUUUGCCACUGGCGCACUGUGCUCUUCACAGAUGAAAGCAGAUUCACACUGAGCACAUGUGACAGAGUCUGGAGACACAGUGGAGAACCUUCUGCUGCCUGCAACAUCCUCCAGCAUGACCGGUUUGGCAGUGGGUCAGUAAUGGUGUGGGGUGGCAUUUCUUAUGGGGGCCACACAGCCCUCCAUGUGCUCGCCAGAGGUAGCCUGACUGCCAUUAGGUACCGAGAUGAGCUCCUCAGACCCCUUGUGCGGUUGGCCCUGGGGUCUUCCUAAUGCAAGACAAUGCUAGACCUCAUGUGGCUGGAGUGUGUCAGCAGUUCCUGUAAGACGAAGGCAUUGAUUCUAUGGACUGGCCUGCCCGUUCCCCAGACCUUAAUCCAAUUGAGCACAUCUGGGGCAUCAUGUCUCGCUCCAUCCACCAACGUCACAUUGCACCACAGACUGUCCAGGGUUGUCAGAUGCUUUAGUCCAGGUCUAGGUGGAGAUCCCUCAGGAGAAAAUCCGCUACCUCAUCAUGAGCUUGCACAGGCGUUGUAGGGAGGUCAUACCGGCACGUGGAGGCCACACAUUACUGAGCCUAAUUUUAACUUGUUUUAAGGACAUUACAUCAAAGUUGGAUCAGCCCUGUAAUGCUAAACUAUUGGAACGCAACUGCAGAAAACUUUUAAUUACAUCAAUUUAUAGUUUUAUCCUUUUUUGUUAUUGAAUUGCAGGAGAGGAUACUGUAGCUUUAAACCCUCUAGCAGGUUGUUAGUUGCAGGAAAAAGCCACUGAAGUUUUGCACAAAGCUAAGCAGUCCCAAUUAAGGAUAGUGCAGAGAAUGCAUGCAGAGUUAGGUUGAAUUAAAUGUAGUUGAAUUAGCUUCAGGCUAGUUUAACAAUGAGGCAGGUUCUUAUUUGUAACUGAGAGCAAUUGGAUUGAAGGAAGAAGUACUUAGCUAAAGAAGCAGUUUCUUAUUUGCAACUGAGAGCAGUUUGAUUGAAGGAAAUAGUAUUUAGCCUUAGAAGCAGUUUCUUAUUUGUAACUGAGAGUAAUUUGAUUGAAGGAAUCAGUACUUGAGAGGCAGUUUCUGGUAACUGGAGAGAUGAAAUUAAUCAGUUCCUUGGGGGAAGGAAUAGAAGUCCGUUUAACAAUCUGAGGUCGAGGAGUGGAGAAGGAGGGUAGUCGUUUCCAGAGCGAUUUCGGUACACGGGUAGUUCAAUUGAAAUAGAGUAGCCGGUAAGAGUUUCACAGACACCUGUUCAAUAAUCCAGCGCUUUGAAUCUGGCGCGGUCUUCCUAUGUAGCUUGUGAAGACUGUGUCAGAGAAGGAGCGGGGCAAAGUGCCGUCAACCCGGAAGUGAGUUAAGUCGGCGAAACCCGGCAAGUAUAACCUGACAAGCCCGUAGUGGUAGUGUGUUUUUCCACUUUAAUUUUGAGUGUGACUCCAAAUCCAGACCUCCAUGGGUUGAAAAAUUUG